GACGAACGCUGGCGGCGUGCUUAACACAUGCAAGUCGAGCGGUAAGGCCCUUUCGGGGGUACACGAGCGGCGAACGGGUGAGUAACAACGUGGGUGACCUGCCUUUAGCUCUGGGGAUAAGCCUGGGAAACCGGGUCUAAUACCGGAUAUGGACUCCGCGGCGCAUGUUGUGGGGUGAAAGCCUUGUGACGGCUGGAGAUGGGCCCGCGGCCUAUCAGGCUUG
rnacentral:rRNA from 1 species